rnacentral:lncRNA from 1 species
CUACAACACAAAUAAUUGCCACGUAAGAAUCUAUGGAGAAUCCUAAGUUCCCUCUCCAUCUCUGCCAUGUCCACAAGCUUUCAAACUUCAUCAACCGAACACAUAUCCUCGUCCACUCAAACGCUCUAGCCUUCUUGUUUUACUAUAGAGCCUCUUUCUUCUUCCCACACCCCAAUACCAAAGCCACAACCCUACCAUGGCUUCUUGUCUUUGCCUCGGAAAUCCUCCUUGCCUUCGAAUGGCUCCUCAGCCAAUCAUUUCGCUGGCGGACUGUUUUGCGAACCGUGUUCCCAGAGAGGCUGCCGGAGAAUGACAAACUUCCGGCAAUUGACGUGUUAAUUUGCACCGCGGAUCCGGAGAAGGAGCCAACCGUGAUGGUUAUGAACACGGUGUUAUCAGCCAUGGCAAUAGACUAUCCACCGGAAAAGCUUCAUGUGUAUCUAUCUGAUGACGGCUGUGCUGCCGUGACUUUGAAUGGGAUGAGAGAGGCUUGGAGGUUUGCAAAGUGGUGGCUUCCGUUUUGUCGGAGGUAUGGGAUCAAGUGUACGGCUCCGGAGGCUUAUUUCUCUGCAGGAGGAGAAGGUGAUGGCCAUGAGGAUGAUCCCAUACCGAAACCCUUGUCCUGAUUCCCAAACCAAAUUUUUCGGGAAUCCCAAUUUGAAUACCGAUUCCAAACCAAAUUUUCGGGAAUCCCAAUUUUCGGGAAUUCCGAAAUAGUUUCGGGAUUUCGGGACAAAUCAGGAAUCCCGAAAUGGUUUUGGGCUUUUGGACUAAAAUUUGACAUAUUAUGCUUAUGUAACUCAUUGAAUGAAUUGUUAGAUUGUGCAGGCUGGUUAGUCUGAGACUGAGAAUCUAUUGCAUCUCUUGCUAGUUUAAAUGCAAAUAUAAUCUCAUAUCGGGGCACAAGCAUUGGAUUGCAAACUGUAAACUUUGCUUGAAGGCUCUUAACCUGACUGACAAGCAUUGCUACCUUGCGCUGCUUUGCUGUCCAUUUACCAGUAAUUUGCAUAUGUAAAAUACAUAUUUACAAUGCCAACAAGCUCCAUUUAUUGGUAUAAAGAGUAAAGAGACUCAAGCAUAGUAACUAGCUGAUCCAACUUUCUUGGUUUCGACAUAAAUAAAACAACAUUGCUUACGUCAUAUCAUAAUUCAUAACAUAUUCCAUUCUCUGUAAUAAGUUCAAACCAUAAAGUCCAUAAUCAAUUAUAAAAGAAUAAUAUAUAUGUAUAUAUAUAUAUAAUAAUUAAUAAUAUAUAUUUUCGGUUCGGCAUGGGAUUCCCGAAAUAUCGAGAAGUCAAUCCCGAAUCCCGUGCCAAAAUUUCGGGAUCGGUUCGGGAUAGCAUCCCAAAAAUUUCGGGAAUUUCGGUUUGGGAAAUUUUUGGUUUGGGAUUGGGAUUUUUUCGGUUCGGUUCAGGAUUUUUGGGAAUUUUUUCCACCCCUAAUGAGGAUGGUGAUUCCGGGGGUAGUGAGUUCAUACACGAGAAA